rnacentral:rRNA from 1 species
CCUGAUCCCAUCCCGAACUCAGAAGUGAAACGCAAUCGCGCCGAUGGUAGUGUGGGGUCUCCCCAUGUGAGAGUAGGUCAUCGCCAGAC